ACGCUCGACACCUACAGGAGGCAGCAGUGGGGAAUAUUGCACAAUGGGGGAAACCCUGAUGCAGCGACGCCGCGUGGAGGAAGAAGGUCUUCGGAUUGUAAACUCCUGUUGUUGGGGAAAAAGAGGAUGGUACCCAACAAGGAAGUGACGGCUAACUACGUGCCAGUAGCCGCGGUAAUCUGAGCGGGCUGGCAAGGC
rnacentral:rRNA from 1 species